rnacentral:rRNA from 1 species
AUGAAAAAGGCGUCGAGCGGGUGCAAGCUCGAGGAGCUAGGAAGGAUGGAAGAAAGCUUGACCGUUUUUUCACUGAACUACUCGAACUUUUUGUUCGAAAAAGCGGAAAUAGCUCAGUUCGAGAGAGGGUUGAGCUUCAUCGGGCUUAUUGCUAUCGAUUCGAUGAUCCCUAUAGGGCGCGGUCAGCGAGAGUUCAUUAUUGGGGACAGACAGACUGGCAAAACAGCAGUAGCCACAGAUACAAUUCUAAAGAAAAAAGGGCAAGGUGUAAUAUGUGUUUAUGUAGCUAUCGGUCAAAGAGCAUCCUCCGUAGCUCAAGUAGUAACUACUUUCCAUGAGGAGGGGGCCAUGGAAUACACUAUUGUAGUAGCUGAAAUGGCGGAUUCACCUGCUACAUUACAAUACCUCGCUCCUUAUACGGGAGCAGCCCUGGCUGAGUAUUUUAUGUACCGCGAACGGCAUACUUUAAUAAUUUAUGAUGAUCUCUCCAAACAGGCACAAGCUUAUCGCCAAAUGUCCCUUCUAUUAAGAAGACCUCCCGGCCGUGAGGCUUAUCCAGGGGAUGUUUUUUAUUUGCAUUCACGCCUUUUAGAAAGAGCCGCUAAAUUAAAUUCUCUUUUAGGCGAAGGAAGUAUGACCGCUUUACCAAUAGUUGAGACUCAAUCUGGAGACGUUUCCGCCUAUAUUCCUACUAAUGUAAUCUCCAUUACAGAUGGACAAAUAUUCUUAUCUGCGGAUCUAUUCAAUGCCGGAAUUCGACCCGCUAUUAAUGUGGGUGUUUCUGUUUCCAGAGUAGGAUCCGCGGCUCAAAUUAAAGCCAUGAAACAAGUAGCUGGCAAAUCCAAAUUGGAACUAGCUCAAUUCGCAGAGUGA